AUAAAACAGUUCAUUCAUUAUAUGCUUUCAUGGAAUGUGUCACAACACAAACAUCUCACAUCUCGGAUUAGACAUGAUCCCAGAACUCCCUCUGUCGGUGCCCGGUCCCUACGGACUCCCAGGUCACUACAUGUACUAGAGCCCGGCCCCUAACUGCGGAGCUCCCAAAGGUCUUAUCUAGCCAUAACAGGUAGCGGGCUACUGAGAUCGCCUUGGUCCAU
rnacentral:lncRNA from 1 species